rnacentral:rRNA from 1 species
GAUGAACGCUGGCGGCGCGCCUAACGCAUGCGAGUCGAACGGUUAAAGCACCUUUUAGGUGUGUAUAAAGUGGCGAACGGCUGAGUAACACGUGGGCAACCUGCCCUCCUCUUGGGGAUAGCCUCGGGAAACCGAGGAUAAUACCCGAUACUUCAAUGUGGCCGCAUGACGACAUUGAGAAAGCUUUUGCGGAGAAGGAUGGGCCCGCGGCCUGUUAGCUUGUUGGUGGGGUAGAGGCCUACCAAGGCAAUGAUGGGUAGCUGGGUUGAGAGACCGACCAGCCAGAUUGGGACUGAGACACGGCCCAGACUCCUACGGGAGGCAGCAGUGGGGAAUCUUGCACAAGGGGCGAAAGCCUGAUGCAGCGACGCCGCGUGCGGGACGAAGGCCUUCGGGUUGUAAACCGCUUUCAGCAGGGACGAGGCGAUAAGUGACGGUACCUGCAGAAGAAGCCCCGGCUAACUACGUG